GAUGAAGAACGCAGCGAAAUGCGAUAAGUAAUGCGAAUUGCAGAAUUUCCGUGAGUCAUCGAAUCUUUGAACGCACAUUGCGCCCGCCAGUAUUCUGGCGGGCAUGCCUGUUCGAGCGUCAUUUCAACCAUCAAGCCCCCGGCUUGUGUUGGGGACCUGCGGCUGCCGCAGGCCCUGAAAACCAGUGGCGGGCUCGCUAGUCACUCCGAGCGUAGUAAUACAUCUCGCUCAGGGCGUGCUGCGGGUUCCGGCCGUUAAAAAGCCUUAUUUACCCAAGGUUGACCUCGGAUCAGGUAGGAAGACCCGCUGAACUUAAGCAUAUCAAUAAGCGGAGGA
rnacentral:misc_RNA from 1 species